GGGGGUGCAGCUCAGUGAUAAAGUUUGUGCCUACCAUGCAUGAGGGCCUGGGUUCCAUCCCCAGCACUGCUG
rnacentral:tRNA from 1 species